rnacentral:rRNA from 1 species
UCCGCUGAGGAUGGCCUUUCCCCGGUGUAAUGAGCCGGGGGAAUAAGGAGAGGGCAAGUCUGGUGUCAGCCGCCGCGGUAAUACCAGCUCUCCGAGUGGUAGGGAUGAUUAUUGGGCUUAAAGCGUCCGUAGCUGGCUUAGCAAGUCUCCUGUUAAAUUCAGCGACCUAAUCGUUGAGCCGCGGGAGAUACUACUAGGCUAGGAGGCGGGAGAGGCCGACGGUAUUCUCGGGGUAGGGGUGAAAUCCUAUAAUCCCGGGAGGACCACCAGUGGCGAAGGCUGUCGG